GACGAACCGUGCAAACGUUGUUCGGAAUCACUGGGCUUAAAGGGCGCGUAGGCGGGCAAGCAAGUCCGGGGUGAAAUCUUUCGGCCCAACCGGAAAAGGGCCUUGGAUACUGCUUGUCUGGAGGGAGGUAGGGGCAGACGGAACUUCCGGUGGAGCGGUGAAAUGCGUUGAUAUCGGAAAGAACACCAACGGCGAAAGCACUCUGCUGGGCCGACACUGACACUGAGAGACGAAAGCUAGGGGAGCGAAUGGG
rnacentral:rRNA from 1 species